rnacentral:rRNA from 1 species
UACAGAGGGGGCAAGCGUUGUUCGGAAUUACUGGGCGUAAAGGGCGCGUAGGCGGCCUUCUAAGUCGAACGUGAAAUCCCCGGGCUCAACCCGGGAACUGCGUCCGAUACUGGAAGGCUUGAAUCCGGGAGAGGGAUGCGGAAUUCCAGGUGUAGCGGUGAAAUGCGUAGAUAUCUGGAGGAACACCGGUGGCGAAGGCGGCAUCCUGGACCGGCAUUGACGCUGAGGCGCGAAAGCCAGGGGAGCAAACAGGG